rnacentral:lncRNA from 1 species
GAAAAUCUCUCUCUCUCUCUCUCUCUCUCUCUCUCUCUCUCUCUCUCUCUCUCUCUCACACACACACACACACACACACACACACACACACACACCUUGACUGGAUGAAGCAAAAGACAGAUUCCAGGAACUUUACACACACAAACAUAUAUGCAUUCAGACCUAUAGACAGACAUAUAUACAUUCACACAUAGAUUGGUUAGAGCAAAGCUCGAGCAAACAGGUUUCAAACAUUUCACACAUACAUACACAAAUACACACAAUAAGUGGAUGGAGCAAGCUCCAACACACACCCAGACAAGCUUUACACAUAUACACAGGUACACAUAGGAGAUGGGUGGAGUGAACAAUGUUUCAGUCCGCAUUUACACAAAUCUUAAACACACACACACAGUUGCUGGAUAGAAGAAACAAGGCUCCAACCCACCACACACACAACCCUUACACAUAUACACACAUGUACAUAGUGAUGGAUGGAAGGAACAAUACUCCAACCCACCACACACACAACCCUUACACAUAUACACACAUGUACAUAGUUGAUGGAUGGAAGGAACAAUACUCCAACCCACCACAAACAAGUCUUAACAGAUACACAUAGUUGAUGGAUGCUCUAACCAUCACACUUUAUUCUUUCUUUCAUCACUUAUAUAUCCCAGAAAAGUGUUUCAAGCAGUAUUAAAUUACAAUGUGUUUAUGUUUUAGUUUUAAAUGGUUAUGAAAACGAUGUGUUUUCCAAUACCGUAUAAGAAACAGCAUUACAAGUACAGGUAAAGAAAUAAAAUAAAUAAAAUUAAAAAUAAAAUAAAUAAAAUCUUUAAAAGUAAUCUAGUAAGAAUCUUAAAGGAAUCACAAAUCUAAACUUUUAUAUAAAAACCAGUCAUAUGUACCUUAAUUCCUCCGAAUGCAUAUGGAUUAAUCAGCAAUUCUUAAUAAAUUUUAUAAUGAAGCUGAGGGUGUAAAUGGGUACAAGAAAUCAAUUAUCAACAAUCCAGACUCAGUGAGAGUCAUGUCAGCCAGAACUGCCAUUGUUCUUGUUCUCUGACUAUAAAAGGUUCCUAGGUUAAGUAAUAAGAGCGUGCCUUUCUGAACAAGUUAUUUCCUAAUAUUUUCUUUUUUUACAAUUAAAAAUAAAGCACAUUUUAUUAGCAAUUUAAUUAAUAAAGCAAUUAAUUAAUAGUGUUGGUAAACUUGCAGGCUUUUAUUUAUUUAUUUUAAAUGGAACCAGAAGCCUUCCUAUUCACUAUUUUGGGGAAAAAAAAUACAAGAUUGGCAAUAGAACUAUAAGAAGUUUAUUCUAGAAGUUCUAUUCUAGAACUGGAUUUUGAUUGGACUAUCAAUGAAAAAAGGAAGCAAAUACC